rnacentral:rRNA from 1 species
GAUGAACGCUGGCGGCGUGCCUAAUACAUGCAAGUCGAACGGGGUGUUUGAGCAAUCGAACACUUAGUGGCGAACGGGUGAGUAACGCGUUGGUGACCUGCCCCAAAGCGGGGGAUAACAGCCUGAAAGGGUUGCUAAUACCGCAUGUGAUCGAGAGAGACUAGAAACUCUUGAUUAAAGGAGAAAUCCACUUUGGGAGGGGCCUGCGUCCCAUCAGCUAGUUGGUAGGGUAAAAGCCUACCAAGGCGAUGACGGGUAGGGGACCUGAGAGGGUGACCCCCCACAAUGGAACUGAAACACGGUCCAUACACCUACGGGAGGCUG